CCGGGAUUCUAAGAACCACAGAGUUGCGAAUAUGGCUGUUGCUGCACCUGAGGAAUGUCCUGUAAACACUAUCUGUUUCUCUGCUGCAGCUUUUUCCACCUGAGAAUCAAUCCACUCAGUUAACUGUUCGUGUAUUUACAGCUUCGUUGCUGCCAAUGGUUCUGAGAGAAGGGAAGAGAUUAAGGUUGAUCUUUGCCUCUCCAAAUGGCUUAUGCGUAAACCAGUCACCCAAAUCCCAAGUUCCUGUGAAUCCAAAGAUCACUUCUGAUGAUGAGCUCCUAGAUUUCUCACAUAUAUAAGGCUUACCAGAAGAUGACUUGUGAGCUUUUAUGGCUACGGCGGAAGCUCUUCCGAUUAACUCUCCGCUUAACCCGAUUUGCUCUCCUGCCAUACCUAUACUGGAAGUUUUUCUCUAAGAGGAAGAGAGUAGAGAAAACUGUUUUCGUUUUUGGUGAUGGACUGAUGGGUAUUGGUUUGUUUAGUAGUGGGAUGUUAAUUAUUAUUGUAAAUUUGUAACGUUCUUCUUGUAAGAACGGGAAAGGCCGAUUUUGUAGGGUAUAUUUGUCAUUUUACUUGCAUUGACUUGAUAAGAGACUUUGUGCUAUUGCUGUGGUCAUAAAAUGAUUAGAAGAAUGGUUGUUUUCGUGGAAAAUUCUUCGGUUACCCACAUC